GAGCAUUUCCAUUUGGUUAGCACAUUAGCGUAAUGAUAGGGAGGGGAAACUCAGGCAGUUGUCCUACCUGAUGCAGUUCCAACAGCAUAUAAAACAUCUUUGAGGAUAAAACUUUUUUUUGGAAGAUAGCUUUUAAUUUCUUCAUAUUUCUCAGGCCAUUACUAUCAUUUAAUUAAAUAAAUUCUGUCCACCCUUCAGCAUUUACUUCUGAGGCCACCAAAGCCCAGGCUCUCAUUCCCUCCUUAUUACAUUGGCUCUGACUUGUGUCUGUGCCCUCCCCUUAAACCUUCAUCAGAUGCACCCUGCUCCUCCUGCCAUACCAGUUCUUCUACACAGCUCUGAGCAUGGCUGACUGGAUAACUAAAACUAAAUGUUUUUUAGAGACAGGGUCUUGCUCUGUUGCCCAGGCUGGUCUUGAACUCCUGGCCUCAAGUGAUCCUUCUGCCUUGGCCUCCCAGAGUGCUGGGAUUGCAGGCGUGUGCCUGGCCUUGCCUCCUGUCUUUAUUGUUAACACCCCAUUGACAACAAGAUAUAAAUUGAUUACAAUGUGAAAUUGUAAAUCUUUUAAUACAGAAGUUUAUGAAGUGAAUUAAAGUGAUGUUGGAGAAACAGCAAAGCCAUGUCUGCCACAAUACACUGGUUUUCAAUUUCUUCUCCAUUUCUUAAUCUGAAUCCAUGAUAGAUGCUUCAGGGGGAAUGAUUUGAAUAUCAAAACACUAAAAAAAAAUCAGUGAAGUCUCAUUUCUUUUCAAAAAUGACCAUUUUUGGAUGCUGCUACAAAAAUUAAAUACAAAGCAAGGAUAUAGCAUAUUAUUAUGUUUUUCUAUUAUUUGAUAGAAAAAUCAUGAGUCUUCUUCC
rnacentral:lncRNA from 1 species